rnacentral:rRNA from 1 species
GAUGAACGCUGGCGGCGUGCUUAACACAUGCAAGUCGAACGGAAAGGCCGAAGCUUGCUUCGGUACUCGAGUGGCGAACGGGUGAGUAACACGUGGGUGAUCUGCCCUGUACUUCGGGAUAAGCUUGGGAAACUGGGUCUAAUACCGGAUAUGACGAUCUCUUGGAUGGGGUUGUGGAAAGCUUUUGCGGUAUGGGAUGAGCUCGCGGCCUAUCAGCUUGUUGGUGGGGUAAUGGCCUACCAAGGCGUCGACGGGUAGCCGGCCUGAGAGGGUGUACGGCCACAUUGUGAGAGAGAGACGGCGCAGACUCCUACGGGGGGCAGCAGUGGGGAAUAUUGUACAAUGGGGGCGAGCCUGAGGCAGAGACGCCGCGUGGGGGAUGAGGGCGUUCGGGUUGUAUACUCCUGUCGCAAUCGACGAGGACUUUUGGUGACGGUAGGUGGAGAAGAAGCACCGGCUAACUACGUG